UCCAACGCCGAACUCCAUCUUCCCCGAGCUCGACACCGCCGACUCCCCCUUCUCUCGGUUCCGGCCGAUCCACCGCCGCCCCUCUCCAGCCGACGAUCUCUCCUAUGGAUGAGCUUCCCCGGACGUCGUCGGCCUCACCUCCUCACGCGAGCACCACCGCCGCGGGUCUCCUUUCCUCCUCGCACAGGCACCAUAGCCGGCGAUCUCUCCCUCUCUUGAGCCGCAGUCGCUAGCCAUGUUGGGAGCCGCCGUCACACCCUUCAGUUAUGCCAAGCCCGGUGACCGAUCCACCUCUCCAUCUUCACCGCGUCGUGCCCUAGCUAGGAUCGCCGAUGUCGCUGGUCGUUGCGAGAGUCGCGAAUCUCGUCUCCCACCCCACAGCCACUGCUGACCACUGGAAAAGAAGAGGCAAGCUUCUACACCCUCAUAGCUUCAUCCACAGUCGAUUGCCGUUGUUACUCAUCGCUAGAGGAGCUAUAGGUAACAGGUAGAUGAGUCAUGGAUGCUUGGAGAGGUGUCGGCCGCCAGUCCUAAGUCCCACGUCACACUCGAGGAUAGUUUUGUUUUGUUUUAUUAUUGUUUGGAUGGUAUGUUGAUUUUGUGUAUUUUGCUUUUCAAUGAGUCGAUGUGAAUUUUUGGAGUCUAGUCUGGUGGUUGCAGACAUUUUUGUUAGUGCCGUUGUUGGUCUUG